rnacentral:misc_RNA from 1 species
GAUGAAGAACGUAGCGAAAUGCGAUAAGUAAUGUGAAUUGCAGAAUUCAGUGAAUCAUCGAAUCUUUGAACGCACAUUGCGCCCGCCAGUAUUCUGGCGGGCAUGCCUGUUCGAGCGUCAUUUCAACCAUCAAGCCCCCGGCUUGUGUUGGGGACCUGCGGCUGCCGCAGGCCCUGAAAACCAGUGGCGGGCUCGCUGUCACACCGAGCGUAGUAGAUUUUCAUCUCGCUCAGGGCGUGCUGCGGGUUCCGGCCGUAAAAAGCCUUAUUUACCCAAGGUUGACCUCGGAUCAGGUAGGAAGACCCGCUGAACUUAAGCAUAUCAUUAAGCGGAGGA